ensembl:snoRNA snoRNA:Me28S-U1230
AUUCCAAUGCUGAUCCAAGCCAACAACGAAAUGUUAAAGUUUGAGAAUAAUUGCGGCCAUGUGCGGAUCGCUUGGAGUGUGUAUGCCAACGCUAGUGGAGGCUUGGAAUCGGAAUGCGGUCUGAGUCA